AAACCGGAUUUCCUAAAAUCCACAAUAUAUACAAAACCCACAGUUC
rfam:Oryzias latipes DNA, chromosome17, strain: Hd-rR.